rnacentral:rRNA from 1 species
AUUGAACGCUGGCGGCAGGCCUAACACAUGCAAGUCGAGCGGAUGAAGGGAGCUUGCUCCUGGAUUCAGCGGCGGACGGGUGAGUAAUGCCUAGGAAUCUGCCUGGUAGUGGGGGAUAACGUCCGGAAACGGGCGCUAAUACCGCAUACGUCCUGAGGGAGAAAGUGGGGGAUCUUCGGACCUCACGCUAUCAGAUGAGCCUAGGUCGGAUUAGCUAGUUGGUGGGGUAAAGGCCUACCAAGGCGACGAUCCGUAACUGGUCUGAGAGGAUGAUCAGUCACACUGGAACUGAGACACGGUCCAGACUCCUACGGGAGGCAGCAGUGGGGAAUAUUGGACAAUGGGCGAAAGCCUGAUCCAGCCAUGCCGCGUGUGUGAAGAAGGUCCUCGGAUUGUAAAGCACUUUAAGUUGGGAGGAAGGGCAGUAAGUUAAUACCUUGCUGUUUUGACGUUACCAACGGAAUAAGCACCGGCUAACUUCGUG